AGUGGGCGGGGUUUUACCGAAUAGACCUGUCAGCACUUAAGCCAAUGGCAGAGAACACCGUACAUGAUCGAGUGGAUUUCUAAGCCGCCACUUACUUUGACCGCUCACUCUGUCUCUCCAUCACAAUGAACUCAAAUCCACUAUUCUUCUAAAUUAUCUCUCAUUGUUUUUAUGUUUGUCCAUCCUUUGUUAGUUGAGUGGUAUUCCUGAGGACUGUGUCGAAAACAGUCAUCACUGUCAAAGUGAGAGAGGAGCCAGACAGAGUCCCUCAGCUGAAGCGUUUAGUAACAACGAGGAAACAGCACCGGUACAGUGUGUUUUUCACAAAGGUGGAUUAUGGAGAAGUUGCCUAUUCAAUUCUAAAACAAUUUCCAGACUAGAUGGACGUGCACAAAUCUGUCGGGAUGCUUGAAGAGUCAUAGCGAGGAAAGUAAUCACACUCCUCAGUAAAGGCCCUAAUGGAGAAUGAGACCUCCAUCUCCUCGGGAUACAUCCCACAUUACCUCCUUCGAGGGGAUCCCUUUGCCUCCAAGUUGUCCAAGGAGGCAGACAUAGUGGCAGCAUUCUACAUCCUUGUCAUCGGUAUCUUGUCAGCCACUGGAAAUGGCUAUGUCAUGUACAUGACCUUCAAGCGAAAAACAAAGUUAAAGCCACCAGAGAUCAUGACACUCAAUCUAGCUAUAUUCGACUUUGGCAUAUCAGUGAGUGGAAAACCGUUCUUCAUAGUGUCUAGUUUUUCUCACCGCUGGCUGUUCGGCUGGCAGGGCUGCCGGUACUAUGGCUGGGCCGGAUUCUUCUUUGGAUGUGGAAGUCUGAUUACUAUGACUGUUGUCAGCUUUGACCGCUACUUGAAAAUUUGUCAUUUAAGAUAUGGCACUUGGUUGAAGCGUCAUCAUGCUUUCCUCUCGGUGGUUUUCAUUUGGGCUUAUGCUGCAUUCUGGGCCACCAUGCCAGUGGUGGGCUGGGGUAACUACGCACCUGAGCCGUUUGGCACCUCUUGCACACUGGACUGGUGGUUGACACAGGCCUCAGUGUCUGGCCAGAGCUUUGUGAUGUGCAUGCUGUUCUUCUGUCUCAUCUUCCCCACCGUCAUCAUCGUCUUCUCCUACGUCAUGAUCAUCUUCAAGGUGAAAUCCUCAGCCAAAGAAGUCUCUCACUUCGACACACGAAAUAAGAACAACCACAGUCUAGAGAUGAAGCUGACUAAGGUGGCGAUGUUGAUCUGUGCAGGGUUUUUGAUAGCCUGGAUCCCGUAUGCUGUGGUGUCAGUGAUGUCUGCUUUUGGAGAGCCUGAUUCAGUGCCUAUUCCUGUCUCUGUUGUGCCAACUUUGCUGGCCAAAUCCUCUGCCAUGUACAAUCCGAUCAUAUAUCAGGUCAUUGACUGUAAAAAGAAGUGUGUAAAAUCAUGCUGUUUUCAAGCUUGGAGAAAAAAGAAACCAUCCAAGACCUCAAGGUUCUACACCAUCUCUGGCUCCAUCAAACAGAGACCAGGCGAUGAAGCUUCUAUUGAGAUAUGACAGGAACUCACAAUGGGCCUGUGAUUGGACACUGGGCAAUUUGCAGCUGUGCAAAUUAGACAGACAAUUCAUACCCGCUAGCUGUGCUUUUGUAUCCUACUGCCAUCAUCUUAUCAGCAGUGUGUAUAAAAGAAUUAUGUGAUGCUUUGAUGUGGUUGUGACAGAGAGGUGGCGUCCCCGUUUGCAGGAAGUGGAGAAGCUCUGGACGCCUCACUGCCUGCCUUCUGUUGUCCUUGUCAUAAUGCAGUUUACAGCAUGCAGGAGCCAGAAUAACAACCUUGUCUCUCACAACAGACCAUACGCUAAAACCCUUCCUUUUCACCUCUCGUGCUCUCGCUUUUUUUUUCCGACACGUGAAACUUGAACACUUAGGUAGCUUUUUAAUCGGCUUGAUCAACUGUAUAUUAUUGCAUUGUAAUGUUUUGAAGCAUGUCAAAUGUGAAAAGUAAUGAAACCAAAGGUAAACCAGUCAUGUUUUUGUAUUAUUUAUGCAGAAGGGGUACACAGCUCUUCAAUUUCCAUACAAAAAUCUGAUAGAUGGAAAAAAUUCAAAUGACACAUGACACACAAGUUACACAUGAAUGUUUUAUGUACAAAUAUGUUUAAAUAUAUAUAAUUACACUUGAUUUCUAUUAUUGGCCAUGUAUGAACUCAAAUAUAACAUCAUAGCUAAUAUAUCUGAACAUAUAUCUACAUAAUUAUAAAUAUAGUGGUUGAAACAAAUAUAUUAAACUGACAUUAUGCAAUAUUUUGAAAUAUAUGUUUUAUAAAUUACAUAUUUUAGACGUAAAAUCCAAAUAUGAACUUGUAUUUCGAACCUCACAAAAGUCUUGUAGCCUAUCCAAGUUGUAGGAACAACAAAUAAUAACUUGAAUUUUAGUUGAUCAUUUGGUAUCAGAAGUGACUUAUAUGAAAGGCAAAGCCCUCUAGAUUUUACUCAAAUACAAUUAUUUGUAUAGGACAGUAAGGUCUGACUUUGCUUAGACAAAAGUCUUGUCACUUAACAGAAAUGAUGUACAGCAUAGACUAUAAAAAUCAUGCUUGAGUAGAAAAGGAAUUAAUAUUGUGUAUGACUCCCAUGAGCUUGGAGGACUGCAUCCAUACAUCUCUGCAAUGACUCAAAUAACUUGUUAAUAAGUCAUCUGGAAUGGCAAAGAAAGCGUCUUGCAGGACUCCUAGAGUUCAUCAAGAUUCUUCAGAUUAAUCUUCAAUGCCUCCUCCAUCUUACCCUAGGCAUUCUCAAUAGUGUUUAUUUCUGGGGACUGGGCUGGCCAAUCCUAGAGCACCUUGACCUUGCUUUCAGGCUGACUUAUGCUGAAAUAUGAGGAGCGAUAUUCUGCUGAAGAUUUUGCCCUCUUCUGUGGUUUGUAAUGUAAUGGGCAGCACAAAUGUCUUGAUCCCUCGGGCUGCUGAUGUUGCUAUCCACUCUGCAGAUCUCUCGCACUCCCCCAUACUGAAUGUUACCCCAAACUAUGAUUUUUCCUUUACCAAACUUGACUGAUUUCUGAGAAAGUCUUGGGUCCAUGCGAGUUCCAAUAGGUCUGAUGCAGUAUUUGUAAGAAUUGGGAUGCAGUUCAACAGAAGAUUCAUCUGAAAAAAUCUACCUUCUGUCACUUUUCCAAAUUAUCAACUAAGUCAAGUUAUUAUUUUUUGCUCUUACAACUUUUUUUGAAUUGAUAAGUUGAUAAGAUAUACAGUAUGUUGCAUACAUUGCCAUAUGUGUGUGUGUGUGUGUGUGUGUGUGUGUGUGUGUAUAUAUAUAUAUAUAUAUAUAUAUAUUUCUGUGGCAAUCUGAUCUGACAGGCUUGUUGAUGAAUAAGACAGAUGUAACCUAACAAAAAAGCUUUUAAAGAAGCUAGAUUUCCUGAAAUCGGCGUUAAAUGAAUAUACUAUUUUAAUAUGAAUAACAUUUUUGCAUCACUUGUUAAACCUAAGAAAAUGAUUUUCCCUAAUGGUCCCAGAAAGCACUUAGAAGCAGCUAGAAAAUGCCUGGCCAUGUGAAUUGAUGUGAAAUGGAGUGGGCUGGAGUGUUUUAAAUCUAAAUGAUGAUCUGAGAGUGCAAAUAAAGCUGGCAGAUUGAAGGAUGCUUACUGAAGGUUGCAUUUUACAGAAAUGUUGGACACAAUAUUUGUAUAUAUUCUCUCAGCUAUUUUUAAAGUAUCGUUACUGCAGUAAUGCCCAUCAUAACAGCCACUGUUGAUCUAGUGGAUUCAGCUUCAAAAUGCCAUUGCACUGGUCAGCUUAUAUUAUACACUGAUUCAGGCAGAUGUCUUGAUCUAUAUAAGUUUUUUUCAAUAUUCCAUUCAAAUUUAUUUCUAUAAUCCAAAUAAUCACAUCAUUAUAUCAGAAUGUACCAAUAUAAGACAUUUAGUAUAUUGCUUCAGUAUAUAGCCAUAUCUUAUGUGUUAGUACGUUGAUCCAUUAUUUACAAUCGUCAUGUACUUUUCAAACUCAUUUUGAGUAGUUGUUACUGUAAAAGUCAUUAGCAAUAUGGUAAACAGGGUUUUAACUAUUGUUUUCUACAGGUCGGAAUGUGUCUCUGUUACUAUGCUGUUUUCAUAAUUUACUGAAACUUGCAAAGGAUAUCUACUGAACAAUACCAAAUUAAAUUAGCAACAAAUUGUGCUCAUGAAAUGUUCUCACUGUGUGUUGACGCUUUAAGUUUACAACUGCCAUAAAAAAUAGCAUCUAAACAGUUCAUUAUUUUGUGCUUUUACUGUUUGUUCUGUAUAUCUGUAUCUCUGUAAAAGGAAUGUAAUGUAAAAUUUCAUCUACAUUAACAAAUCAAAACAGUGAAUAAAAUAUUUUGUCACAUGCAAAUAGUAAAAAAA